UGCCAGACUCCUACGGGAGGCAGCAGUGGGGAAUAUUGCACAAUGGGGGAAACCCUGAUGCAGCGACGCCGCGUGAGCGAUGAAGUAUUUCGGUAUGUAAAGCUCUAUCAGCAGGGAAGAAGAUGACGGUACCUGACUAAGAAGCCCCGGCUAACUACGUGCCAGCAGCCGCGGUAAUACGUAGGGGGCAAGCGUUAUCCGGAUUUACUGGGUGUAAAGGGAGCGUAGACGGCCAUGCAAGCCUGGAGUGAAAGCCCGGGGCCCAACCCCGGGACUGCUCUGGGAACUGUGCGGCUGGAGUGCGGGAGGGGCAGGCGGAAUUCCUGGUGUAGCGGUGAAAUGCGUAGAUAUCAGGAGGAACACCGGUGGCGAAGGCGGCCUGCUGGACUGCAACUGACGUUGAGGCCCGAAAGCGUGGGGAGUAAACAGGAUUAGAUACCCCGGUA
rnacentral:rRNA from 1 species